rnacentral:rRNA from 1 species
UACGUAGGGUGCAAGCGUUGUCCGGAAUUAUUGGGCGUAAAGAGCUCGUAGGCGGUCUGUCGCGUCUGCUGUGAAAACCUAGGGCUUAACUCUGGGCGUGCAGUGGGUACGGGCAGGCUAGAGUGCGGUAGGGGAGAGUGGAAUUCCUGGUGUAGCGGUGAAAUGCGCAGAUAUCAGGAAGAACACCCGUGGCGAAGGCGGCUCUCUGGGACGGUACUGACGCUGAGACGCGAAAGCGUGGGGAGCGAACAGG